rnacentral:tRNA from 1 species
GCCAGUAUGGCUCAGUGGUAGAGCAUCAGCUCACACACCAAAGUGUCUGUCAUGGGUUCAAUUCCCGGUCAAUGGCA